rnacentral:rRNA from 1 species
AGGAACGUACCCCAAAGUGAGGGAUAACUGCUCGAAAGAGUAGCUAAUACCGCAUGUGCUCUUCGGAGUAAAGCUUCGGCGCUUUGGGAACGGCCCGCGCAUGAUUAGCUUGUUGGUGAGGUAAUAGCUCACCAAGGCGACGAUCAUUAGCUGGUCUGAGAGGAUGAUCAGCCAGACUGGGACUGAGACACGGCCCAGACUCCUACGGGAGGCAGCAGUAGGGAAUUUUCCACAAUGGGCGAAAGCCUGAUGGAGCAACGCCGCGUGCAGGAUGAAUGCCUUCGGGUUGUAAACUGCUUUUAUAUGUGACGAUUAUGACGGUAGCAUAUGAAUAAGGAUCGGCUAACUCCGUGCCAGCAGCCGCGGUCAUACGGAGGAUCCAAGCGUUAUCCGGAAUUACUGGGCGUAAAGAGUUGCGUAGGUGGCAUAGUAAGUUGGUAGUGAAAUGAUGUGGCUCAACCACAUGUCCAUUACCAAAACUGCUAAGCUAGAGGAUGAGAGAGGUCACUGGAAUUCCCUGUGUAGGAGUGAAAUCCGUAGAUAUAGGGAGGAACACCGAUGGCGUAGGCAGGUGACUGGCUCAUUUCUGACACUAAGGCACGAAAGCGUGGGUAGCAAACGGGAUUAGAUACCCCGGUAGUCCACGCCGUAAACGAUGGAUGCUAGCUGUAAGGAGUAUCGACCCUUCUUGUAGCGAAGCUAACGCGUUAAGCAUCCCGCCUGUGGAGUACGAGCGCAAGCUUAAAACAUAAAGGAAUUGACGGGGACCCGCACAAGCGGUGGAGCGUGUUGUUUAAUUCGAUGGUAAGCGAAGAACCUUACCCAGGCUUGACAUCC